rnacentral:lncRNA from 1 species
UGUGAUCUCGGCUCACUGCAACCUCUGCCUCCCAGGUUCAAGCGAUUCUCCUGCCUCACCCUCCCGAGUAGCUGGGAUUACAGGCACCCACCACCACGCCUGGCUAAUUUUUUGUAUUUUUAGUAGAGAGGGGGUUUCAUCAAGUUGGCCAGGCUAGUCUCAAACUCCUGACCUCAGGUGAUCCGCCUGCCUUGGCCUCCCAAAGUACUGGGAUUAUAGGCAUGAGCCACUGUGCCUGGCCUACAAGAUAUAUUAAAGGAAGUUCUUCAGGCUGAUAGAAAAUGUUACAGGAUGAAAAUUCCUAUUUACAUAAAGGAACGAGGAGCACUAGAAAUGGUAAAUAUGGCUGGACACAGUUAUGUGCUCUUGUAAUCACAGAUACUUGGGAGGCUGAGGGAGGAGGAUUGUUUGAGUCCAAAAGUGUGAGGACAGCCUGAACAACAUAGUAAGACCCUGUCUCAAAAACAAUGGUAAAUGUGUAAGUAAAUAUAAGAUACUUUUAUUCUUGGUUUAAAAACACUUUCUUGAAAAUAUAAUUGGCCAAACACUUAUGGGAAAGUUAUAGCUCUUAAUGCCUAUAUCAAAGAAGAACACAGAUCUUAAACAAUAACCUAACUUUAUAUGCAAGAAGUUAGAAAAAGAAAAUGAAACCCAAAAUCAUCCAGGGGAAAGUAUUAUGGACUGGAUGUUUGCAUAUCCCCCCAAUUUUUACAUGCUGAAUACAUAAGCCCCAGUGUGGCUGUGUUUGGAGAUGGGGCCUCUAAGGAAGUAAUUAUGGUUAAAUGAGGUCAUAGGGAUGUACCCUUGAUCCAAUAUGAUUAGUAUUCAUUUAAGAAGAGACACCAGAGAGCUCACUCUCUCUGUGAGCACAGACCGAGGAAAGAGGAAAGGCCAUGUGAGGAUGUAACAAGAAGCUCGCCACCUACAAGCCGGGAAGAAAACUCUCAUCAGAAACAAAUUUGCUGGCAUCUUGAUCAUGGACUCCUAGACUCCAGAACUAUGAUAAAAUAAACUUGUGUUGCUUAAGGCAUGCAAGAUGUGGCAUUAUGUUAUAGCGUCCUGAGCAGACAACUAUAGAAGGAAGUAGUAAAGAUUCGAGUGGAAAUAAAUGAAAUUGAGAAUGGAAAACAAUAGAGAAAAUCAAUGAAACCAGAAGUUGAUACUCUCAAAUAUCAACAAAACUGGUAAACUGUUAAUUACACUGAGAAAAGAGAUAGAUAGAUAGAUAGAUAGAUAGAUAGAAUACCCCCAAAACUGAGAAAAGAGCUUAAAAAAAAGAUCAGUAGAUAGAUAAUAUGAGACCCCAAAAAGGGAGAAAAGAGCUAAAAAAGAGAUCAAUAGAUAGACAGAUAGAUGGAUAGACAGACAAAUAAAAGACCCAGGUGACUAAAAUCAGGAAUGAAAGGGAGAACAUCACUACUGACCUUCUAGAAUAAAAGGAUUAUAAAAAGAAUACUAUGAACAGCAGUAUGCCAUCAAAUUAGAUAACUUAGAUGAACAAAAUCCUAGAAAGAUGAAAUGACUGCAGUUUACUCAAGAAGAAACAGAGAAUCCGAAUAGACCAAAAACAGAGAUAUUAAAUUUAAAAUUUUCUGACAAAGAAAAACCAAGGGUCAUAUGAAUUCCCUGGUGAAUUCUACCAAACAUUUAAAGAAUAAUAACACAAAAUAUUCCAGAAAAUAGAAGAGGAGGGAACAUUUCAAUUAUAUCUAUAUACAUGAGCAAUAAACAAUUUGAAAAUCAAAUUAAGAAAACAAUUGCAGUUAUAAAUAAUAGCAUCAAGAAGAAUAUAAUAUUUAGGGAUACAUUUUUAAAAUGAAGUUUAAGACUUGUAAAUGGAAAACUACAGAAAUAUUCUUGAAAGAAGUUAAAGAAGAUCUAAAUAAAUGAAAAGACAUCUCAUGUUGUUGGAUCACAACACUUAAUAUUGUUCAGAUGGCAGUACUCCCCAAAUUGAUCUACAGAUUCAACGUAAUCUUUAUCAAACUAUCAUCUGGCUUUUUAAAAGAAAUUGACAAGCUGAACCUAAAAUUUAUAUGGAAAUACAAGGGACCUGGAAUAGUUAAAAUCUUUAACAGAAGAACAAAGUUGGAGAACUAAAAAUUCUCAAUUUCAAAACUUACUGUAAAGCUAUGGUAAUCAAGUCAGUGAGGUAUUGGCAUAAGAAUAGACGUAUAAAUCAAUGGAAUAAAAUUGAGAGUCCAGGAGUAAGUCUUAGCAUUUAUGGUCAAUUGAUUUUCAACAAAGGACCAAGACAAUUUAAUCAUGAUAGAAUAGUCUUUUCAGAAAGGUUCUGGGGCAACUGGAUAAACACAUGCAAAAAAAAAAAAAAAAAAAAAAAAGAAAAGAAAAGAAAAGAAAUUGGACCCCUGCCUCAUACCAUACAGAAAAAAUAAUUCAAAGUAGAUUAUAGACCUAAAUGUUAAGAGCUGAAACUAUAAAAGUCUUAGAAGAUAACAUGGGAAUAAAUCUAGUGACUUUAGGUUGAGAAAUGAUUUCAAUGUUUAACAUUCUGAGGAAUUCUUAGAACUUAACAAUUAAAAGAAAAAUAAUAGAAAUGGACACAUAAUUUGAAUAGAUAUUUCCCCAAAGAAGAUAUAUGAAUAGCCAAUUAACACACGAAAAUAUAUUUAACAGCAUCAUUAAUCAUCAGAGAAGUGAAAACCACAACAAGAUACCACUUCUUACCCACUAGGAUGGCUAUAACAAAAAAAGAGAGAUAAUAGUAAGUGUUCACACACGUGGAGAAAUUGGAACCCUCACACACUGCUGAUGGUGAUCCAAAAUGCUGGUGCUGCUGUGGAAAACAUUCUGGCAGUUCCUCAGAAUGUUAAACAUUGAGUUACCAGAAGACCCAGCAAUUUCACUCAUAGAUAUGUACCCAAGAGAAAUAAAAGCAUAUUCACAGAAAAACUUAUACCAUUAUUAAUCAUAGCAACAAGUCAAAACAACUCAAAUGUCCACCGACUAAUAAACAAAAUGUAGUCUAUCCAUACAAUGAAAUAUUACUUGGCAAUAAAAAGGAAUGAGGCACUGAUAACAUGCCACAACGUGGAUGAACUUCUAAACGUUAUUCUAAGUGAAAGAGGCCAGUCACAAAAGACCAUAUAUUAUGUGAUACCCUUUAUAUGAAAUGCCCAGAAUAGGGCAACCUAUAGAGACAGAAAGCAGAUUAAUAAUUGCCUAAGGCUGGAGGUGUGUGUGUCAGGUAGGGAUGAGGGGUGACUGCUAAUGAGUAUUAGGUUUCUUUUUGGGGUGAUGAAAAUGCUCCAAAAUUAGCUUAUGGUGACAGUUUCACAAGGCUGUAAAAUACUAAAAGCAUUGAAGUACACUUCAAAGAAGUGACGUUUAUGGUGUAUAAAUUAUAGCUCAAAAAUAUGUUUAAAAUAAGAUAAUUGAUUGUCUAAAACAUAAGUAAUAACAUUAUAUAGAAGCAAAGUGUGUGACAACAAUGAUACAAAGGAAAGCAGAGGGAAGUGGAAGUAUAUUGUUGAAAGAUUCUUACAUUUUUGGUGAAGUGCUCUAAUAUUUGUUGAAGGUAGAAUACUAUGAUUGAAGAUAUAUAUUGCAAAUCCUAGAGCAAACUACUAAAAAUGAAGAGAUAUAGGAAUAAGCCAAUAGUGGAUAUAAAAUGAAAGACUCAAAAAUAUUCAAAUUAAUGAAGUCAGGAAAGAGGAAUAUGAAACAGGACAAGUAGAAAACAGUGUUAGAUGGUAGAGAUAAACCCAGCCAUAUACAUAAUUGCAUCAACUGUAAAUGGCUUAAGCAUUCCAAUUAAAAGCUAGAGAGUAUCAGACUGGACAAAAAAACCAUAAUACUCAAUGACAUGCUUUCUACAAGAAACACUUUAAUAAUAAAGGCACAAAUGGGUUAGAAGUAAAAAGAUGGGAAAAAAUAGAGUGUGCAAAUACUAACCAUAAGAAAACUAAAGUGAAUAUAUGAUCAAGCAGAGUAGACUUCAGGACAAGAACUAUUACUCAAGAUAAAGAGAGAUAUUUUAUAAUGAUAAGAGGGUCAGUCCGUUAGGAAAACAUGACCGUCCUGUCUAUGCACCUAAUUACACAGCUUCAAAAUACAUGCCAAAGUGACAGAAUUGAAAGGAAGAAUGGAUAAAUUUCACAAUUGUAGUGGGAGAUUCUUUUCUCAGUGAUGCAUAGGAGACAGGAAAUCAGUAAGGACAUUGAAAACUUGGAUAACACUAUCAAACAACUCGAUCUAAUUGACAUUUUUGAAAUAAAUACCCAACAGUGGCAGAAUAUACAUUCUUUUCUUACACAUAGAACAUUUAUUAAUAUAAACUAUAUACUGUGUCAUAAAACAAAUCUCAUUACAUUUAAAAAGAUUACUGCUUCUCUGACAGUAACUGAAUUAAUUUAGGAUUCAAUAGCAGAAUAAAUAUCUGAAAAAUUCCCAAAUAUGUGGAAAUUACACAACAUACUGCUUAAGGUAAAAGAAGAAAUAUUAUAAAGGAAACUAGAAAAUAUUGGCUGAGCGUGGUGGCUCAUGGAUGUAA